rnacentral:rRNA from 1 species
UACGUAGGGUGCGAGCGUUGUCCGGAUUUAUUGGGCGUAAAGAGCUCGUAGGCGGUUUGUCGCGUCGGCCGCGAAAUCUCCACGCUUAACGUGGAGCGUGCGGUCGAUACGGGCAGACUUGAGUUCGGUAGGGGAGACUGGAAUUCCUGGUGUAGCGGUGAAAUGCGCAGAUAUCAGGAGGAACACCGGUGGCGAAGGCGGGUCUCUGGGCCGAUACUGACGCUGAGGAGCGAAAGCGUGGGGAGCGAACAGG